UGGGGAAUAUUGCACAAUGGGCGAAAGCCUGAUGCAGCGACGCCGCGUGAGGGAUGACGGCCUUCGGGUUGUAAACCUCUUUCAGUAGGGACGAAGCGCAAGUGACGGUACCUGCAGAAGAAGCACCGGCUAACUACGUGCCAGCAGCCGCGGUAAUACGUAGGGUGCGAGCGUUGUCCGGAAUUACUGGGCGUAAAGAGCUCGUAGGCGGUUUGUCACGUCGUCUGUGAAAUCCUAGGGCUUAACCCUGGACGUGCAGGCGAUACGGGCUGACUUGAGUACUACAAGGGAGACUGGAAUUUCUGGUGUAGCGGUGGAAUGCACAGAUAUCAGGAAGAACACCGAUGGCGAAGGCAGGUCUCUGGGUAGUAACUGACGCUGAGGAGCGAAAGCAUGGGUAGCGAACAGG
rnacentral:rRNA from 1 species